rnacentral:rRNA from 1 species
ACUCAAAUGAAUUGACGGGGGUCCGCACAAGCGGUGGAGUAUGUGGUUUAAUUCGAUGAUACGCGAGGAACCUUACCUAGGCUCGAAUGCUAGAUGAAUAUAGAUGAAAGUUUAUAGCCCGCAAGGGGAUUUAGCAAGGUGCUGCAUGGUUGUCGUCAGCUCGUGCCGUGAGGUGUUGGGUUAAGUCCCGCAACGAGCGCAACCCCUGUUCUUAGUUGCCAGCGCGUAAAGGUGGGGACUCUAAGAAGACUGCCUCUGUAAGGAGUGAGGAAGGAAGGGAUGACGUCAAAUCAUCAUGGCCUUUAUGCCUAGGGCUACACACGUACUACAAUGGUGCAUACAGAGGGCAGCGAGCUAGUAAUAGUAAGCGAAUCCCAGAAAGUGCAUCCCAGUUCGGAUUGAGGGCUGGAACUCGCCCUCAUGAAGUUGGAAUCGCUAGUAAUCGCGCAUCAGCGAUGGCGCGGUGAAUACGUUCCCGGACCUUGUACACACCGCCCGU